AGUUGUGGAUGAUGAGACCAUGAAUGCAAUACAGUUAUCCCUGUCUGAUGCAUUACUAUGGGUGCUGAAAGCAGUCUAUCUGACGCAUCC
rfam:Musa acuminata subsp. malaccensis Doubled-haploid Pahang (DH-Pahang) genomic chromosome, chr5